AACUCCAGUGUAGUGUAUAACUCCAGUGUAGUGUAUAACUCCAGUGUAGUAUAUAAUAACUCCAGUGUAGUAUAUAAUAACUCCAGUGUAGUAUAUAAUAACUCCAGUGUAGUUUAUAAUAACUCCAGUGUAGUGUAUAACUCCAGUGUAGUAUAUAAUAACUCCAGUGUAGUUUAUAAUAACUCCAGUGUAGUGUAUAACUCCAGUGUAUUGUAUAAUAACUCCAGUGUAGUGUAUAACUCCAGUGUAGUGUAUAACUCCAGUGUAUUGUAUAAUAACUCCAGUGUAGUGUAUAACUCCAGUGUAGUGUAUAACUCCAGCCCAGUCUGCUGAUAUCGGGUCAUGUUAUCUUCCAUUUUAGUUUUUACUUUCAGGUUGAACAUUAUCGAGAUUAUAUAAAACGGCAUUGUUGGUUGAGNNNNNNNNNNACUGACCAGCUGGUUGAGUUCUCAGUGAUCACCUCCAGGGGUGAUUACUGACCAGCUGGUUGAGUUCUCAGUGAUCACCUCCAGGGGUGAUUACCGACCAGCUGGUUGAGUUCUCAGUGAUCACCUCUAGGGGUGAUAGACUGACCAGCUGGUUGAGUUCUCAGUGAUCACCUCCAGGGGUGAUGACCGACCAGCUGGUUGAGUUCUCAGUGAUCACCUCUAGGGGUGAUGACUGACCAGCUGGUUGAGUUCUCAGUGAUCACCUCUAGGGGUGAUGACUGACCAGCUGGUUGAGUUCUCAGUGAUCACCUCCAGGGGUGAUGACCGACCAGCUGGUUGAGUUCUCAGUGAUCACCUCUAGGGGUGAUGACCGACCAGCUGGUUGAGUUCUCAGUGAUCACCUCUAGGGGUGAUGACUGACCAGCUGGUUGAGUUCUCAGUGAUCACCUCCAGGGGUGAUUACUGACCAGCUGGUUGAGUUCUCAGUGAUCACCUCCAGGGGUGAUUACCGACCAGCUGGUUGAGUUCUCAGUGAUCACCUCUAGGGGUGAUGACCGACCAGCUGGUUGAGUUCUCAGUGAUCACCUCCAGGGUUGAUUACUGACCAGCUGGUUGAGUUCUCAGUGAUCACCUCUAGGGGUGAUGACCGACCAGCUCCAUUACUGCAGUAAUUAAAUAAUACAGUUUGAUUGUUUUGAAGAAAUCUAAAGUCUCUCCUUUUGAUUACAAUAACUCCACCACACUUGUUAAAAAGUUAAUUUGUGGAAUUUCUUUCUUUCUUAAUGCAUUUGAGCCAAUCAGUUGUGUUGUGACAAGGUAUGAGUGGUAUACAGAAGAUAACCCUAUUUGUGGUCAUAUUAUGGCAAGCAAAGAGAAAUGACAGUCCAUCAUUACUUUAAGACAUGGCUACUUUGAAGAAUCUCAAAUAUAACUUUUUUUGGGUACUACAUAAGUCCAUGUGUUAUUUCAUAGUUUUGAUGUCUCGACUAUUAUUCUACAAUGUGGAAAAACUCUGGCAUUAGUAGGUGUGUCCAAACGUUUGACUGGUACUGUACACGGAUAGGACCAAGGAAGGGUAGAAAACAAUUUCUAGAGUGUUGAAAGUUUCCAAGAGCACAGUGGUCUCCAUCAUUGAGAAAGUGAAAAAAUAUGUAACUACCCAGACUCCCUAGAGCUGGCCGUCUGACCAAACUGAUCAACCGGGCAAGAUGAACCUUGGUUAGAGAGGUGACCAAGAAACCACCAACCACUCUGACAGAACUACAGAGUUCCUUGGCUGAGAUGGGAGAACCUGCCAGAAGGACAACAGUCUACACCACUUUAUCAAUCUGGGGUUUAUGGGAGAGUGGCCAGACGGAAGCCACGGCUGAGAAAAAGGCACAUGAACUCUGCCUGGAGUUUGUAAAAAGGCACAUGAACUCCGCCUGGGGUUUGUAAAAAGGCAAGACUCUGAAAGACUGAGAGCAUAAGGCGAAGGAUAAUGUGGUCUGAUGAGACAAACAUUUUACUCUUUGGCGUGAAUGCAAAGACCUACUGUAUGUCUGGAGAAAACAAGGCACAGCUCAUCACCCAUCGAACACCACCACUACCGUGA
rnacentral:lncRNA from 13 species